UUAAGCGACUAAGCGUACACGGUGGAUGCCCUGGCAGUCAGAGGCGAUGAAGGACGUGCUAAUCUGCGAUAAGCGUCGGUAAGGUGAUAUGAACCGUUAUAACCGGCGAUUUCCGAAUGGGGAAACCCAGUGUGAUUCGUCACACUAUCAUUAACUGAAUCCAUAGGUUAAUGAGGCGAACCGGGGGAACUGAAACAUCUAAGUACCCCGAGGAAAAGAAAUCAACCGAGAUUCCCCCAGUAGCGGCGAGCGAACGGGGAGCAGCCCAGAGCCUGAAUCAGUGUGUGUGUUAGUGGAAGCGUCUGGAAAGGCGCGCGAUACAGGGUGACAGCCCCGUACACAAAAAUGCACAUGCUGUGAGCUCGAUGAGUAGGGCGGGACACGUGGUAUCCUGUCUGAAUAUGGGGGGACCAUCCUCCAAGGCUAAAUACUCCUGACUGACCGAUAGUGAACCAGUACCGUGAGGGAAAGGCGAAAAGAACCCCGGCGAGGGGAGUGAAAAAGAACCUGAAACCGUGUACGUACAAGCAGUGGGAGCACGCUUCGGCGUGUGACUGCGUACCUUUUGUAUAAUGGGUCAGCGACUUAUAUUCUGUAGCAAGGUUAACCGAAUAGGGGAGCCGAAGGGAAACCGAGUCUUAACUGGGCGUUAAGUUGCAGGGUAUAGACCCGAAACCCGGUGAUCUAGCCAUGGGCAGGUUGAAGGUUGGGUAACACUAACUGGAGGACCGAACCGACUAAUGUUGAAAAAUUAGCGGAUGACUUGUGGCUGGGGGUGAAAGGCCAAUCAAACCGGGAGAUAGCUGGUUCUCCCCGAAAGCUAUUUAGGUAGCGCCUCGUGAAUUCAUCUCCGGGGGUAGAGCACUGUUUCGGCAAGGGGGUCAUCCCGACUUACCAACCCGAUGCAAACUGCGAAUACCGGAGAAUGUUAUCACGGGAGACACACGGCGGGUGCUAACGUCCGUCGUGAAGAGGGAAACAACCCAGACCGCCAGCUAAGGUCCCAAAGUCAUGGUUAAGUGGGAAACGAUGUGGGAAGGCCCAGACAGCCAGGAUGUUGGCUUAGAAGCAGCCAUCAUUUAAAGAAAGCGUAAUAGCUCACUGGUCGAGUCGGCCUGCGCGGAAGAUGUAACGGGGCUAAACCAUGCACCGAAGCUGCGGCAGCGACACUAUGUGUUGUUGGGUAGGGGAGCGUUCUGUAAGCCUGUGAAGGUGUACUGUGAGGUAUGCUGGAGGUAUCAGAAGUGCGAAUGCUGACAUAAGUAACGAUAAAGCGGGUGAAAAGCCCGCUCGCCGGAAGACCAAGGGUUCCUGUCCAACGUUAAUCGGGGCAGGGUGAGUCGACCCCUAAGGCGAGGCCGAAAGGCGUAGUCGAUGGGAAACAGGUUAAUAUUCCUGUACUUGGUGUUACUGCGAAGGGGGGACGGAGAAGGCUAUGUUGGCCGGGCGACGGUUGUCCCGGUUUAAGCGUGUAGGCUGGUUUUCCAGGCAAAUCCGGAAAAUCAAGGCUGAGGCGUGAUGACGAGGCACUACGGUGCUGAAGCAACAAAUGCCCUGCUUCCAGGAAAAGCCUCUAAGCAUCAGGUAACAUCAAAUCGUACCCCAAACCGACACAGGUGGUCAGGUAGAGAAUACCAAGGCGCUUGAGAGAACUCGGGUGAAGGAACUAGGCAAAAUGGUGCCGUAACUUCGGGAGAAGGCACGCUGAUAUGUAGGUGAAGCGACUUGCUCGUGGAGCUGAAAUCAGUCGAAGAUACCAGCUGGCUGCAACUGUUUAUUAAAAACACAGCACUGUGCAAACACGAAAGUGGACGUAUACGGUGUGACGCCUGCCCGGUGCCGGAAGGUUAAUUGAUGGGGUUAGCGGUAACGCGAAGCUCUUGAUCGAAGCCCCGGUAAACGGCGGCCGUAACUAUAACGGUCCUAAGGUAGCGAAAUUCCUUGUCGGGUAAGUUCCGACCUGCACGAAUGGCGUAAUGAUGGCCAGGCUGUCUCCACCCGAGACUCAGUGAAAUUGAACUCGCUGUGAAGAUGCAGUGUACCCGCGGCAAGACGGAAAGACCCCGUGAACCUUUACUAUAGCUUGACACUGAACAUUGAGCCUUGAUGUGUAGGAUAGGUGGGAGGCUUUGAAGUGUGGACGCCAGUCUGCAUGGAGCCGACCUUGAAAUACCACCCUUUAAUGUUUGAUGUUCUAACGUUGACCCGUGAUCCGGGUUGCGGACAGUGUCUGGUGGGUAGUUUGACUGGGGCGGUCUCCUCCUAAAGAGUAACGGAGGAGCACGAAGGUUGGCUAAUCCUGGUCGGACAUCAGGAGGUUAGUGCAAUGGCAUAAGCCAGCUUGACUGCGAGCGUGACGGCGCGAGCAGGUGCGAAAGCAGGUCAUAGUGAUCCGGUGGUUCUGAAUGGAAGGGCCAUCGCUCAACGGAUAAAAGGUACUCCGGGGAUAACAGGCUGAUACCGCCCAAGAGUUCAUAUCGACGGCGGUGUUUGGCACCUCGAUGUCGGCUCAUCACAUCCUGGGGCUGAAGUAGGUCCCAAGGGUAUGGCUGUUCGCCAUUUAAAGUGGUACGCGAGCUGGGUUUAGAACGUCGUGAGACAGUUCGGUCCCUAUCUGCCGUGGGCGCUGGAGAACUGAGGGGGGCUGCUCCUAGUACGAGAGGACCGGAGUGGACGCAUCACUGGUGUUCGGGUUGUCAUGCCAAUGGCACUGCCCGGUAGCUAAAUGCGGAAGAGAUAAGUGCUGAAAGCAUCUAAGCACGAAACUUGCCCCGAGAUGAGUUCUCCCUGACUCCUUGAGAGUCCUGAAGGAACGUUGAAGACGACGACGUUGAUAGGCCGGGUGUGUAAGCGCAGCGAUGCGUUGAGCUAACCGGUACUAAUGAACCGUGAGGCUUAACCU
rnacentral:rRNA from 1 species